GAUCAUUACUGAGUGAGGGCCCUCUGGGUCCAACCUCCCACCCGUGUUUAUUGUACCUUGUUGCUUCGGUGAGCCCGCCUCACGGCCGCCGGGGGGCUUCUGCCCCUGGGCCCGCGCCCACCGAAGACACCAUUGAACUCUGUCUGAAGAUUGCAGUCUGAGCAUAAACUAAAUAAGUUAAAACUUUCAACAACGGAUCUCUUGGUUCCGGCAUCGAUGAAGAACGCAGCGAAAUGCGAUAACUAAUGUGAAUUGCAGAAUUCAGUGAAUCAUCGAGUCUUUGAACGCACAUUGCGCCCCCUGGUAUUCCGGGGGGCAUGCCUGUCCGAGCGUCAUUGCUGCCCUCAAGCACGGCUUGUGUGUUGGGCUCCGUCCCCCCGGGGACGGGCCCGAAAGGCAGCGGCGGCACCGAGUCCGGUCCUCGAGCGUAUGGGGCUUUGUCACCCGCUCUGUAGGCCCGGCCGGCGCCAGCCGACAACCCAUCAUCCUUUUCAGGUUGACCUCGGAUCAGGUAGGGAUACCCGCUGAACCUAAGCAUAUCA
rnacentral:misc_RNA from 1 species